rnacentral:lncRNA from 1 species
UAUAACCUCUUAAAGAACCCUUUGGAAUGUUUUAUCCCUGUCCGUAACUAACUGAUAAAGCUGUAAACUUGCAGAAUUUGAUGCAAACACCUUUGUACCUCAGUGGAGUUCACCAGAUCUUUUUGUGAUGUGGUGCUGAAGCAUUAUCCUGGGACAGCAGUAAUGAUUGAUGAAUACACUUCAGGCUUGAGUCAUAGAGCAGCAUGA